CCUGGCUGUUUCUGUAUUGGCACUGGUAUAGAUUCUCGGUCAGUUGUAUUGGACCUUGAAUCUCUACCAGUGCCAAUACAGAAACAGCCAGU
rnacentral:sRNA from 1 species